rnacentral:rRNA from 1 species
ACGGCUCAUGUAACACGUGGAUAACCUACCCUCAGGAGGGGGAUAACCCCGGGAAACUGGGGAUAAUACCCCAUAGAUCAGGGACGCUGGAAUGCCCCCUGAUCCAAAGGUCCGCCGCCUGAGGAUGGGUCUGCGGCCGAUUAGGUUGUUGUUGGGGUAACGGCCCAACAAGCCGUUGAUCGGUACGGGUUGUGAGAGCAAGAGCCCGGAGAUGGAUUCUGAGACACGAAUCCAGGCCCUACGGGGCGCAGCAGGCGCGAAAACUUUACAAUGCGAGAAAUCGUGAUAAGGGAACCCCGAGUGCCCGUAAAUUCGGGCUGUCCAUCAGUGUAAAUAACUGGUGAAGAAAGGGCCGGGCAAGACCGGUGCCAGCCGCCGCGGUAAUACCGGCGGCUCGAGUGGUGGCCACUAUUACUGGGCUUAAAGCGUCCGUAGCUGGACUGUUAAGUCUCUUGGGAAAUCCACCGGCUCAACCGAUGGGCGUUCAGGAGAAACUGGCAAUCUAGGGACCGGGAGAGGUGAGAGGUACUCCAGGGGUAGGAGUGAAAUCCUGUAAUCCUUGGGGGACCACCUGUGGCGAAGGCGUCUCACUAGAACGGCUCCGACAGUGAGGGACGAAAGCUGGGGGAGCAAACCGGAUUAGAUACCCGGGUAGUCCCAGCUGUAAACGAUGCGCGUUAGGUGUAUCGGUGACCACGAGUCAUCGAGGUGCCGAAGGGAAACCGUGAAACGUGCCGCCUGGGAAGUACGGUCGCAAGGCUGAAACUUAAAGGAAAUUGGCGGGGGAGCACCACAACGGGUGGGAGCCCUGCGGUUUAAAUUGGACUCAACGCCGGGGCAGCUCACCGGAUAAAGACAGCUGGGAUGAUAGCCCGGGCUGAAGACUCUGCUUGACUAGCUGAAAGGAGGUGCAUGGCC